GGCGCAGGGCAGCGGGUGCGGUGACACCUGUGGGCACAGCCCUAGGGGACCUCUUUCUCCUGGACAUUGAAGAUAUGGCCCUUUGGAGGUGACCCAGGAGAGAAGGGAUGAAGGCCUUUGGUCCUCCACAUGAGGGCCCCCUCCAAGGACUCGUGGCCUCCCGCAUUGAGACUUAUGGGGGCCGGCAUCGAGCCUCUGCUCAGAGCACUGCUGGCAGACUCUAUCCCCGAGGAUACCCUGUGCUGGUGAGUCCAGGCUGUGCCCCAAAAGUGACCUGGUGGGGCAGGAGGGAAGACACCUAGGCUGUGGAGUCUCUGUCCCCUUACAGGUUCAGAGGUUGAGCUAUUCCUGCCCCUUACCCUACUCUUCUUUCCUGGGUUGCGGGAAAGAGGAGGGCAGUGACA
rnacentral:lncRNA from 1 species